rnacentral:lncRNA from 1 species
GUGCCUUCUUGUCAAAAUACUGUAUUUUAAUGCAAUUAUUGUAUUUAGAAUUAGUAAAUAAACAGAAGAAGACAUUUCCCUAUCAUCUUACCUUGUUUUUUUCCAGUAAAUUUUACUGUAAAAAUAUAAGACCCUUUAAAUUAAAAUUUUUAACAAACAAAAUCUCUCUUUUCUUCCUUUGAACUUGGAGCCCUGGCCCAGCCCAUCCUACAGACAUGGUGGUGCCAUUUACUUCAGCCUUUUACUUUGUCACCCCCUUAAUUCCAUCAGAGGUAUUGCUAACAUCUCCAGUUAAUAAUUUCCACUAACAACGCAGAACUCGAUUAGCAUAAUAAGCAUUUCCCAUCUGCAGUGAGCAGUCUUCCCUGCACUUCAUCAGUCUGGAAACUAACUACUGUGUAGAGAAAUCACGAGGAAUAAUUAGAAUUAGUGCACAUGAGCCACUCAACACAAAGCUCUUGCCAUCCACUGGGUAUAAUCAGUAGGUUAUGCAAACGUGGUUAUUGUCAUUUCCACACAAACUAGAACAUACGCGUGGAAGAAGAUGACUUUGGAGCUUGAUAAGAGGUUCUGUGGAGACUUGCCCAGGAGAUGUCAAGCAAGGCAAUGGCCUCCUGAGGGAGGAGCACGCACCGCAGUCAGCCUUGGGGGCCACUGGCCCAGCCGGGGCCUCUGCUCAAGAAGUUUUCCCUCUUACAGCUUUGGGACCCUCAUCUGAAAGGAAAAGGAGUGACUGAAAAUGAGUGAAGGCGUUCCCCAGUGGCUGUUCCCAACAGCAUCCAAUGUGUAGACCCCUACAUGCAGAGAGACCCCGAUGCCUUCUCAGUUCCACGUGCUGUCGAUGCCUCAGAUCAUCCUGGAUGCUGUCCUUGUUGACAACCCAAAGAUACGGACCUGCUGAAUUCUUGACCUCCAUAGUGUCAAUGGUCUUCACCUCAUCUGCAUAUUUGCCAUCUUCUCCCUGGUCAUCCCUCAGACCUUUGCACCAUCCCAAAGUACACCACCUUCUCAAUAGACCUUCUGACCUACAUGAGGAUAGCAGCACUUUGAUGAAUCCUGGAUGUGGCAGCGGAGAUAAACAGGAUGGCAAAAAACAAAAAUGCUGGAAGGUGUUUGCAGGAACAGUGCUACCUCAAGUGUUCAUGUUAUGGCGCACAUAGAAAAUAGUGGUAUUUAUAAAAUAUACUGGUCAGGUUCAGGAAUUUCUGCCCUGAGAACAGAGGAGAAUCAAUAGCUCAACAAACCUGUGCUCAUUCAAGAACUCAGGUUGGAAAGCUCUGAUCUAGAAAAAAAAAAAGCUUCUCUCUGGAUCUGCAUCCACAUUUCGUCAUCAGAGAACGGGAGAGGAGAUAGAAUCUCAGGUUCAAGAACAUUCGCGGAGCCCCAUUUUUAGGUGGAAAAUAGUAACUUGGUUGCUUUAAAAAGGACAUAAUUGGAAGAAAGGUUCUGCUUCCGGUUGACUGUGUUACUUUUUUUUUUUUAAGUUGGCCUUUCUCUAUCAUUGGAGAGGUGAGAAGGAAAUUCCACUGCUGUAGUGGGCUUAGGGAAGAGGGGAAAAUACUGCCUUGAGCUUACGUCUGCUGAAUAAAAGAAGAAACCCCUUUGUGACCAUUGAGAUUUCAUUUGGUUUGGGGGAUUAAGGCCUCAGCUUGUCAUCUAAGUUGCCAUUGUUUGGUGCAAUAUCAGAUGCACAGCUGGAUAGUUUGGGGAAACUGAGGCAACAGCUCCACGUCCUCACCUUCUCACCGAACACUGGCUUUUACAAGCACUCAUUGCUGCUUGGGUUGGGAGGGGUGGGGUUGGUACAGAAGGAGCGCUGAUGCCUACAUAUCCGAAGCUUGACCCAGGGAGGAGACGUCAUGCAAUUACCAAUAAGUUUCUUCAAACCUAGAGCCUGUGGGAUGCCACCAUCACUGACAAUGGCUCCUUGGGUUCUCAUUGCUUGGAGAAGAUAAUUACAGCUCAUUGUGCCCAUUGAGCAGACACAUUUGUGGGCAUACAAGAAACAGCAGAUAGUAAUCCUUGGACUUGAUUAUACAUACAUUCUUUUUUUCUUUUUAAUUACAGUAGUCUUCUGUGACACAAGUGGCACUUCUGUUACUCUCCUGAAGGAGGACCCUCUGAAUCACCCUCGAGGACAGGCACUUGCUCUGCACAGAGUUCCCUGUUUGGAGAGCCGUCUGUGCAUCCAGCUUCCCACUUUCCCCAGGCACCAAACAAUGGGGUUCUGUCUAAGGCUUGUUGAAUUUGUCAAACCAGGACAGUAAGGAAUUGAAUUCUAUGACAGCAAGUGUUUUUAGAAACAAAAAUGAAGGUCAAACUUGGGUGUUCUAAUUCAUUUUCUUCAAAGCAACUAGACAUGGUAACAAAGAUCUCUCUUUUUCUCCUAGACACACACAGAGACCACACUUAGUGAGAAGCAACAUUAAAAUUGCUAGAGAGUCUUACACAAAUUUCUAUAAAAGCAGGCUUUGAAGCUUCAAGUCAUUUCACUGUCCUCAGUCCAUAAUAUUUCAUUCCUUUUUUCUUUACAUACAAUUUCAAUAAGUAAAUUUAGUAUAUAUCCACACACACAUAUUUAUAUAUUUUAAUUCACACAACAAUCCUGUGAGCUGGAUGUAAUGAUUAAUUUUAUGUGUCCACUUCACUGGGCCACAGACUGCCCAAACGUUUGGUUAAGCAUUAUUCUGGGUGUGUCUGUGAGGGUGUUUUGGGGUGAGAUUGACAUGUGAAUUGGCAGACUGGAUAGAGAAGGUUCUCCUCCCUACGGUGGGUGGGCUUCAUCAGUCAACUGAAGACCUGAAUGAAUAUCAGAGUAAGAAGGAGUUCCCCUGCCUAAGUGGCUGAUUGGGAUGUUGUUUUUUUCCUUCUUUCAGAUUCUAAUGGAAAAAAUGGCUCUCCUUGGAUCUCAAAUCUGCCAGCUUUUGGACUAGAACUCGUAGCAUCAGAAGGCUCUCCUGGUUCUUAGGCCUUUGGAUCCUAAUGGGAACGACACCACUGGACUCUCCUGAGCCUCCAGUUUGCCAGCUGCACUAGCCAAUUACAUAUGUGUAUAUAUAUAUAAUUGGCUACUUGGGUUUUCACACACACAUAUGUGUGUGUGUGUGUGUGUGUUUCUCUGGAGAACACUGACUAAUACAGUGGUAUUAUUCUUCCCAUUCUAAAGGGCUCAAAAAGGCUUUAUGGCACCCUAAAGUCAUGUAGCUAGAAAGCUACAUCUAGUAUUCAAAUUCAGUGCUUUUCCCUUUUCACUUCAGCUGCCAUGAUAUGAAAGCCCCAGCCCCUCUACUGUAAAGCAUCCAGACCAUGUGAGCCUCUGCAAACCUGGUACAAAUGCAGGGUUCCCUGAAGGCAGAUGUCUACAAUCCAACAACUCCCUUCUCCCCAGGCAUCUCCUUUAGAAACGCACACCCCUACUCAUCAAGAAUGAUUGAUUUGCCUUCUCAGUAUCUGCAUUUUCCCUGAGCAUGUGUCCAGCUCUUACUCAUAAAUCCUCAAACACCACCUCUAAACAUAAGAGAGGGGCCCCACUUCCUCACCCCAGAGGAAUCCCAAGGCCUGACUGGGCACCAACAUGCUUACUAACCUCAUGCACAGUUACCACAUGAUUCAUGAUCCAGAACAAGACCCUUUGGAGAAGAGAGUGGAGAGGUGCUAUAAAUCCUAACACUAGGACAGCAGAUAUAAAUGGUGACUCUCCUGGGUAGACUGGGAAGUAUGGUCAACCUAUUUAUAUACCUAACGCCUAUUGAACAUCAUUUUAGCAAAUGCCAUGGCUUUACCAUCCCUGAAAUAGAGGAUCAGCAUGUUCUGAUAAUUGACCCUCACAUUUUCUCCUUUUCUACCUAAAAAAUGUACCAAAAUUCAGGUGGUGUUGCUCUAAGGACCUAAGACAUUUUUAACAAUCCAGUCAAAAUUCAUGUGUGUGACAUACACACACACUUGUUUCUUUCUAUCCCCUUUAAGUUCAAGGAAAGUGCUGUAUCUAAGGCAGUUGCUUUGGACUGUUAGAAAAUCAUCAAUUAAAGAUAAAUGGUCAGGAAAGAAAUUUCAGGGCUUGCCCAUUCAGGAAAGCAUGUAUAAUUUGGUGAACCUAAAACUUCUUGUGGAGUUGUAAGUCUUCCUCAUGCUCCCCAGACACCUGGUCAAGGCUUC